CCUACGGGUGGCAGCAGUAGGGAAUAUUGCUCAAUGGGGGAAACCCUGAAGCAGCAACGCCGCGUGGAGGAUGAAGGUUUUCGGAUUGUAAACUCCUUUUGUCAGAGAAGAUAAUGACGGUAUCUAACGAAUAAGCACCGGCUAACUCCGUGCCAGCAGCCGCGGUAAUACGGAGGGUGCAAGCGUUACUCGGAAUCACUGGGCGUAAAGAGCGCGUAGGCGGGAUAGCAAGUCGGAUGUGAAAUCCUAGGGCUUAACCAUAGAACUGCAUUUGAAACUGUUAUUCUAGAGUAUGGGAGAGGUAGGUGGAAUUCUAGGUGUAGGGGUAAAAUCCGUAGAGAUCAAGAGGAAUACUCAUUGCGAAGGCGACCUGCUAGAACAUAACUGACGCUGAUGCGCGAAAGCGUGGGGAGCAAACAGGAUUAGAUACCCUAGUAGUC
rnacentral:rRNA from 1 species